CAUGUAGGUGAGUGAUUGCUAUUUCAAAAGACUAGAGGUAGGAAAUGAGGCUAAUGCACUACUUCACAUG
ensembl:miRNA MIR3975 microRNA 3975